AGACGCACUGAUUUGAUCCCACAGCACUGAGAAAAACACAAGUGAAGAGUCAAUACAGACCAGCAGAAUCAACACAGAAAGCAACUCUUUGGAGAUUUUUGGCAAGAUGAGAAAAUUACUUUUGCUGGUUCUCACCUUAACAGCUUCAGCCAGUCCACCAGUUCAGGAUAAAACGCUGCCGUUUAAAGAUUUGCCUUUUGAUCAUGUGGUCAAGGAGGAUGUUUUGCCAGUGGUUAAAAAAGAACCAAUAGUACAGCACACAGAAGCAGAACAAGGUCCUUUGAAGCAGGAUGAACCUGUUGCAGAUGUGCUGAAGCCAGAGACAAUAGAGGAACACAUAGAAGAGACGUCAGUGAGAGUGGAGGAACCUGUGAUAGAGGAAGAUGAUCUGACUGAAGCAGAACAAGGUCCUCUAAUGCAGGAUGAACCUGUUGCAGAUGUCGUGCUGGACCCAGAGACCAUGGGGGAACACAGAGAAGAGACGUCAGUGAGAGUGGAGGAACCUGUGAUAGAGGAAGAUGAUCUGACUGAAGCAGAACAAGGUCCUCUAAUGCAGGAUGAACCUGUUGCAGAUGUCGUGCUGGACCCAGAGACCAUGGGGGAACACAGAGAAGAGACGUCAGUGAGAGUGGAGGAACCUGUGAUAGAGGAAGAUGAUCUGACUGAAGCAGAACAAGGUCCUCUAAUGCAGGAUGAACCUGUCGCAGAUGUGCUGGACCCAGAGACAAUGGAGGAAUACAGAGAAGAGAUGUCAGUGAGAAUGGAGGAACCUGUAAUAGAGGAAGAUGAUCUGACUGAAGCAGAACAAGGUCCUCUGAUGCAGGAUGAACCUAUCGCAGAUGUGCUGGACCCAGAGACAAUAGAAGAACAAGAGAUGUCAGUGAGAAUGGAGGAACCUCUGACAGAGGAAGAUGAUCUGACUGAAGCAGAACAAGGUCCUCUGAUGCAGGAUGAACCUAUUGCAGAUGUCGUGCUGGACCCAGAGACAAUGGAGGAAUACAGAGAAGAGAUGUCAGUGAGAAUGGAGGAACCUGUAAUAGAGGAAGAUGAUCUGACUGAAGCAGAACAAGGUCCUCUGAUGCAGGAUGAACCUAUUGCAGAUGUCGUGCUGGACCCAGAGACAAUGGAGGAAUACAGGGAAGAGAUGUCAGUGAGAAUGGAGGAACCUGUGAUAGAGGAAGAUGAUCUUACUGAAGCAGAACAAGGUCCUCUGAUGCAGGAUGAACCUGUUGCAGAGGUGCUGGAGCCAGAGACAAUAGAGGAACACAGAGAAACAGAAGAUAAUUCAGUGAUAGUGGAGGAACCUGUGCUAGUGGCAGAUUAUAUAAAUGAAGAGACACCAGAGACAGAACUAGAGUCUAUGCCGGAAAUAGUUGCCAUUCAGAUGAACAGAAACAACGUACCUGUGGAGGAACCUGUGGAGGAACCUGUAGAGGAACCUGUAGAGGAACCAGAGGAACCUGUAGAAGAGUUAGAGUCUGUAGCUGAGAUGGAUAUGAAGGUGGAAUCUGAAAAAGAGGAAAAUUUAUUAGAGGAGCCUACACUCGAGGGUGACUAUAUCGUGGAUGAUGAUCCGGAAGAAGUAAUGGAACCAUGAAGGGAACGAAGACUGACAUUACAGACUGGGAGGUGGACUUGUGGAGGAGAAUUGUGUAGAGAUACUGAGUGAUCUGGUGUUCAAUGAUGUACCAUGCAAAAUCCUCAAACCGUUCGUCUGUUCCUGUCCACUUUAGACAGCCUGGAGGUUAACCUAACCUGCUUUACAAUGACUUUUAUGAAGAAAAUGUAAAUAAUAAUAAUAAUAUUUAUUAUUAUUAUUGCAAUUUUUAAAAAGUAAUUUAAAAGGGCUAUGCCGUAAUCAAAUUGUUUUGUUAAAUUUGCCAUGGUUUACAAAAAAUAAUAAUAAUAAACAACAUACAUUUUUAUACGCCACAACUGAUUCAUUUGUUAAUAUUGUAUUGUCUUGUAUAUAAGUAAUUUCGUUGUUUACUUGCUAUUGUAAAAAGGUAUUAAAUAAAAUGGACUUUUAUUAU